CCUACGGGAGGCAGCAGUGGGGAAUAUUGCACAAUGGGGGAAACCCUGAUGCAGCGACGCCGCGUGGGUGCAGAAGCGCCUCGGCGCGUAAAGCCCUGUCAGCAGGGAAGAAAAUGACGGUACCUGAAGAAGAAGCCCCGGCUAACUACGUGCCAGCAGCCGCGGGAAUACGUAGGGGGCAAGCGUUAUCCGGAUUUACUGGGUGUAAAGGGGGCGCAGACGGCGAUGCAAGCCAGGAGUGAAAGCCCGGGGCCCAACCCCGGGACUGCUCGUGGACCUGCGUGGCUAGAGUGCAGUAGGGGCAGGCGGAAUUCCUGGUGUAGCGGUGAAAUGCGUAGAUAUCAGGAGGAACACCGGUGGCGAAGGCGGCCUGCUGGACUGCAACUGACGUUGAGGCCCGAAAGCGUGGGGAGCAAACAGGAUUAGAUACCCCAGUAGUC
rnacentral:rRNA from 1 species